CACCAACGAAGCUUCUAACAGCAAUAGCCUUUUAAGCUAUGGAAGGGAGCCCUAUCCCCAUGGUGA
rnacentral:tRNA from 1 species